UACAGAGGGGGCAAGCGUUAUUCGGAAUUACUGGGCGUAAAGCGCACGUAGGCGGAUUGUUAAGUCGGGGGUGAAAUCCCGGAGCUCAACUCCGGAACUGCCUUCGAUACUGACGAUCUUGAGUCCGGGAGAGGUGAGUGGAACUGCGAGUGUAGAGGUGAAAUUCGUAGAUAUUCGCAAGAACACCAGUGGCGAAGGCGGCUCACUGGCCCGGUACUGACGCUGAGGUGCGAAAGCGUGGGGAGCAAACAGG
rnacentral:rRNA from 1 species